AGCUCCUGCUCACCUUUCCCCCUUACUGGGCGAGAGGUGUCUAUGGGGCACCCACUGCCACCACCACUGCUACCGCCACUGGAUGCUGUCUCUAUGGCGAGAAGGAGGAGGAGGAGCAUGAGCUCAGCGACACAAGUACAUAAAUAAAGAGUACAAUAUUUUAUGAAACAAAUCUUCAACCAAGUAUAACAUUUUGAUGCUUGGCAUCUAGACUCCCUUGUGCCCUCACUAUGCCAGCAGCAACUGUAGAUCAUAGCCAAAGAAUUUGUGAAGUUUGGGCUUGCAGCUUGGAUGAAGAGAUGAAGAAAACUCCUCAAGUUAUCCAAAAAUAUAAUUACGUUGCUGUGGACACUGAAUUUCCAGGUGUGGUUGCAAGACCCAUUGGAGAAUUCAGGAGCAAUGCCAACUACUGCAAUGUAAUGUAGACUUGUUAAAGAUAAUUCAGCUAGGACUGACAUUUAUGAAUGAGCAAGAAUACCCUCCAGGAACUCCAACAUGGUAGUUGAAUUUUAAAUUUAAUUUGACGGAAGACAUGUAUGCCCAGGACUCUACAGAGCUACUAACAACAUGUGAUAUCCAGCUUAAAAAACAUGAGGAGGAAGGAAUUGAGACCCAGUACUUUGCAGAACUUCUUACGACUUCAGGAGUGGUCCUCUGUGAAGGGGUCAAAUGGUUGUCAUUUCAUAGCGGUUACAACUUUGGCUAUUUAAUAAAAAUCCUGACCAACUCUAACUUGCCUGAAGAAGAACUUGACUUCUUUAAUAUCCUUCAAUUGCUUUUUUUCCUGUCAUUUAUGAUGUGAUGUACCUUAUGAAGAGCUGCAAAAAUCUCAAAGGUGGAUUACAGAAGUGGCAGAACAGUUAGAGCUGGAACAGACAGGACCACAACAUCAGGCAGGAUCUGAUGCAUUGCUCAUAGGAAUGGCCUUUUUCAAAACGAGAGAAAUGUUCUUUGAAGAUCGUAUUGAUUAUGCCAAACAUUAUGGUCAUUUGUACAGCCUUGGUUCUGGUUCAUCCUAUGUACAGAAUGGCACAGGGAAUGCAUAUGAAGAGGAAGCCAACAAGCAGUCAUGACAUGAAAUAGUCCUUUUAUUUUCAUUUCAAGCUACACACAUGCUUGUACAUAGGUUUUAUCUCUGGUUGAAUCCCUUGAACAAUAGACAGUGCCUUUCCCCUGCCCCUUUCAUGGCCCAUUUUAUUGUCUCCCUUUCAGUACUAAGUAUGACCAUUCCUAUCUCAGAUCUUAAUUAAAAAAAUGCAUUCAGGUUAAAUUUGGCCUUAAUAUACUUGUUAGCAAGCAUGUGUGACAGAGAGUGGGGAAAGCUACAUCACUGAAUAUUUUGAUAAACUUUACCUACUUGAGUUUGGUUUAUUUUUCCCUUUUCCUAAAUUAACUAGCACUGACUGUAAUUUAUUUCCCUGUUUCAUGUCUCUCCCUUCCAUUCUGCAGGAGUUUUAGCUAUUUGAGGUUGUGGACCAUCAAUCUUCCACUUUAGAGAUUGAUUCUGACUCAAAACCUCUGUUUUAUCAGAAAUUUUGUUUUUUCUUGAUCUUAGCUGGAAAAAUGACCAUCUGCCAACUUUACACAGUAUUUACUUGGUUUUGACCCACAUUAUAUAGCACAUUCAUUGUGCUGACUGUCAAUUCAACAAAACUAAAAAAGACAAGAAACUACUGAGGAGCUUAGUAACUGCUGUUUCUGUACAUAGUGUCUAAUCUUCCAAGCAUACCUAAUGUCUGUCAGUUUCUAACUGGCAUGUGUAGGCUGCUCUGUGACUGAAGAAUUUUCAAACCAGCUUUACACCCUUCAGGAAAAAUCCCUUGUGAUUGGAUGUUUAGUAUCUGCCAGGAAACUGGUACUCAAGAUGUUGAAGCUACAGUUAUUUUAUGAUAGCACACUUCCCUUGAUCUGCUUAUUUUUAUUCCAUCACUGUUUACCCUUGUUUUUUUUUUUGUAGCCAUACUUAUGAUACUAUUGAUUUGUUGGUUACACAAAUCAACUUUAUUAAAAUCCAAAGAUAACAAGUCUUUAAGUAUAUUUUGUACCAAAUUAAAUUAGAAAAUAAAAAUUGUGCUUUCGUAGUUGCUACAAAAGUAAAUAAUGGAGAGAUUUGGUACAAAACAACAAAAUACAAAAUAUAUAUAUAUUCUCAUAUAUAUAUAUAAAAUAAAAUUACCUGAGGAGUAUAAUGCUUAUUUUUUGUGCAUAUCUUAGCAGUCUAUUUUAUAUAUAUUGACAAAAGGGACUGUGAAAUAUUUAGCCAUGCAGAAUAUGUGACCAGACCAGAGCAUGUGUAGGAAGACUUUUCGGUAAUCUUAACUCUACCUUGAAAUGAUGGACUACAAGUUAUAAUAUUUGUUACCUACACUUACAAUCAGUAAUAUUAGCAAAUCUCCAAAUUGGUUUGUCUUUCUUGUACAUUCUUUAUUCGUGAUAUUACAGUGCUGUAACUGGGUGGUCCUUUUUAAACAAAACAUUAUUUGCAAAACAGAGGGUAUUAUUUGUUUGUAAAGCUUUUGUAAAUAAAGACUUCAAAAAUGUUUUCUCAUAAAAAAA